rnacentral:rRNA from 1 species
GACGAACGCUGGCGGCGUGCUUAACACAUGCAAGUCGAACGGAAAGGCCCUGCUUUUGUGGGGUGCUCGAGUGGCGAACGGGUGAGUAACACGUGAGUAACCUGCCCUUGACUUUGGGAUAACUUCAGGAAACUGGGGCUAAUACCGGAUAGGAGCUCCUGCUGCAUGGUGGGGGUUGGAAAGUUUCGGCGGUUGGGGUUGGACUCGCGGGUUAUCUGCUUGUUGGUGGGGUAGUGGCUUACCAAGGCUUUGACGGGUAGCCGGCCUGAGAGGGUGACCAGCCACAAUGGGACUGAGAUACGGCCCAGACUCAUACGGGAGGCAGCAGUGGGGAAUAUUGCAGAAUGGGCGGAAGCGUGAUGCAGAAACCCCGCGUGCGGGAUGACGGCCUUCGGGUUGUAAACCGAUUUCGCCUGUGACGAAGCGUGAGUGACGGUAAUGGGUAAAGAAGCACCGGCUAACUACGUG